rnacentral:piRNA from 1 species
UGAACCCUGAGUGAGCAUACCUUUACUUCA